CGCUGAGGAGCGAAAGCAUGGGGAGCGAACAGGAUUAGAUACCCUGGUAGUCCAUGCCGUAAACGUUGGGCACUAGGUGUGGGGGACAUUCCACGUUUUCCGCGCCGUAGCUAACGCAUUAAGUGCCCCGCCUGGGGAGUACGGCCGCAAGGCUAAAACUCAAAGGAAUUGACGGGGGCCCGCACAAGCGGCGGAGCAUGCGGAUUAAUUCGAUGCAACGCGAAGAACCUUACCAAGGCUUGACAUGUUCCUGACCGCCGUAGAGAUACGGUUUCCCCUUUGGGGCAGGUUCACAGGUGGUGCAUGGUUGUCGUCAGCUCGUGUCGUGAGAUGUUGGGUUAAGUCCCGCAACGAGCGCAACCCUCGUUCCAUGUUGCCAGCACGUAGUGGUGGGGACUCAUGGGAGACUGCCGGGGUCAACUCGGAGGAAGGUGGGGAGGACGUCAAAUCAUCAUGCCCCUUAUGUCUUGGGCUUCACGCAUGCUACAAUGGCCGGUACAAUGGGUUGCGAUACUGUGAGGUGGAGCUAAUCCCAAAAAGCCGGUCUCAGUUCGGAUUGGGGUCUGCAACUCGACCCCAUGAAGUCGGAGUCGCUAGUAAUCGCAGAUCAGCAACGGUGCGGUGAAUACGUUCCCGGGCCUUGUACACACCGCCCGUCAAGUCACGAAAGUUGGUAACACCCGAAGCCGGUGGCCUAACC
rnacentral:rRNA from 1 species